rnacentral:rRNA from 1 species
GUAGGUGGCAAGCGUUGUCCGGAAUUAUUGGGCGUAAAGCGCGCGCAGGCGGGUUCUUUAAGUCUGAUGUGAAAGCCCACGGGCUCAACCGUGGAGGGUCAUUUGGAAACUGGAGAACUUGAGUACAGAAGAGGAAAGCGGAAUUCCACGUGUAGCGGUGAAAUGCGUAGAGAUGUGGAGGAACACCAGUGGCGAAGGCGGCUUUCUGGUCUGUAACUGACGCUGAGGCGCGAAAGCGUGGGGAGCAAACAGGAUUAGAUACCCUGGUAGUCCACGCCGUAAACGAUGAGUGCUAAGUGUUAGGGGGUUUCCGCCCCUUAGUGCUGCAGCUAACGCAUUAAGCACUCCGCCUGGGGAGUACGGCCGCAAGGCUG